GGGGUAAAGGCCUACCAAGGCGACGAUCCAUAGCUGGUCUGAGAGGAUGAUCAGCCACAUUGGGACUGAGACACGGCCCAAACUCCUACGGGAGGCAGCUGUGGGGAAUAUUGGACAAUGGGCGCAAGCCUGAUCCAGCCAUGCCGCUUGAGUGAUGAAGGCCUUAGGGUUGUAAAGCUCUUUCACCGGUGAAGAUAAUGACGGUAACCGUAGAAGAAGCCCCGGCUAACUUCGUGCCAGCAGCCGCGGUAAUACGAAGGGGGCUAGCGUUGUUCGGAAUUACUGGGCGUAAAGCGCAUGUAGGCGGACUUUUAAUUCAGGGGUGAAAUCCCGGGGCUCAACCUCGGAACUGCCUUUGAUACUGGGUGUCUAGAGUGUGGAAGAGGUAAGUGGAAUUCCGAGUGUAUAGGUGAAAUUCGUAGAUUUUCGGAUGAACUCCAGUGGCGAAGGCGGCU
rnacentral:rRNA from 1 species